rnacentral:rRNA from 1 species
UACGGGGGGAGCAAGCGUUGUUCGGAUUUACUGGGCGUAAAGGGCGCGUAGGCGGCCUCCGCAAGUCGACUGUGAAAUCUCCGGGCUUAACCCGGAACGGUCAGCCGAUACUGCGGGGCUAGAGUGCAGAAGGGGCAACUGGAAUUCUCGGUGUAGCGGUGAAAUGCGUAGAUAUCGGGAAGAACACCCGUGGCGAAGGCGGCUCUCUGGAACGCAACUGACGCUGAGACGCGAAAGCGUGGGGAGCAAACAGG